GACUAUUAAAAACACAGCACUGUGCAAACACGAAAGUGGACGUAUACGGUGUGACGCCUGCCCGGUGCCGGAAGGUUAAUUGAUGGGGUCAGCGCAAGCGAAGCUCCUGAUCGAAGCCCCGGUAAACGGC
rnacentral:rRNA from 1 species